UACGUAGGGUCCGAGCGUUGUCCGGAAUUACUGGGCGUAAAGAGCUCGUAGGUGGUUUGUCGCGUUGUUCGUGAAAACUCACAGCUCAACUGUGGGCGUGCGGGCGAUACGGGCAGACUAGAGUACUGCAGGGGAGACUGGAAUUCCUGGUGUAGCGGUGGAAUGCGCAGAUAUCAGGAGGAACACCGGUGGCGAAGGCGAAUCUCUGGACAGUUACUG
rnacentral:rRNA from 1 species